CACCCAUGUAACGUAUAUCAUGUAUAUAGGCACACAUGUAUGAUAUAUCACCGAUAUAACAAGUAUAUUUCAUUUUACUUGUUUUAUUGCUAUUUUGUGCAUUUUUCUUUUGAUCUUUUUUUGUGAUAAUUUUCAUAUCAUGCUUCUCGCUUGAGAUGGAAAAUUAUCGCUAGAAACUAAGGAGGCACGUGGCGUUGCUAACGAAAUUGACAUGAAAUUGACAACGUCGUUAUAGGUAAAAUAGCGAUAAACAGAUUAUCAUUGGUCAUCUCAACUCGAUUGCUUUUCUCACUUUCGC
rnacentral:lncRNA from 1 species